rnacentral:rRNA from 1 species
GACGAACGCUGGCGGCGUGUUUAACACAUGCAAGUCGAACGGAAAGGCCCUGCUUUUGUGGGGUGCUCGAGUGGCGAACGGGUGAGUAACACGUGAGUAACCUGCCCUUGACUUUGGGAUAACUUCAGGAAACUAGGGCUAAUACCGGAUAGGAGCUCCUGCUGCAUGGUGGGGGUUGGAAAGUUUCGGCGGUUGGGGAUGGACUCGCGGCUUAUCAGCUUGUUGGUGGGGUAGUGGCUUACCAAGGCUUUGACGGGUAGCCGGCCUGAGAGGGUGACCGGCCACAUUGGGACUGAGAUACGGCCCAGACUCCUACGGGAGGCAGCAGUGGGGAAUAUUGCACAAUGGGCGGAAGCCUGAUGCAGCAACGCCGCGUGCGGGAUGACGGCCUUCGGGUUGUAAACCGCUUUCGCCUGUGACGAAGCGUGAGUGACGGUAAUGGGUAAAGAAGCACCGGCUAACUACGUG